UUUUUCUUUUUUCUUUUUCUGGACUUUUUCUUUAUUUUGGGAUUAGAUGUCCCAUUUCACAAUUUUUGCACUAGUCCUGCCCAUAGGAUCCACUACACUAUCUCCCCUUCUUUUGCCCUUAAGUUCAGUUUGACCGGGACGGCUCAAAUCUAGGCAAAUUUAUAAGUGAAUUCAAAUGAAUUAUUAAGCUCAAAAGGGUUUGCAAGUGAUAGAUGUAGGGUUGGUCAGUUUGGUUCUGUGGGCUAAAGAAAGAAUUGCCUAAAUCAU
rnacentral:lncRNA from 1 species